rnacentral:rRNA from 1 species
UACGUAGGGUGCAAGCGUUAUCCGGAAUUAUUGGGCGUAAAGAGAUGCGUAGGCGGUCGGUAAAGUUUUUGGUGAAAGCCUCUGGCUCAACUAGAGAAUUGCCAAGAAUACUCACCGACUUUGAGGAAAUCAGGGGGUACUGGAACUCGUGGUGUAGUAGUAAAAUGCGUUGAUAUCACGAGGAACACCAAAGGCGAAGGCAGGUACCUGGGAUUUUCCUGACGCUAAGGCUCGAAAGCGUGGGGAGCGAAACGG